AUGGCCAUCUCCAAGUUGGAUGAUGUCAAGGCUCAGAAAGACCUUCCUAUCUCUUCUUUGCUGGUGCCAAAGGGCACCUUUACACUACUGUAUUGUAAAGAAAUUGAUACUGGAGCAUUAGGAAGGAGUGUAUUGAUAGGCGAUGUUUUCAGAGACAUGGCAAAAGCACCCUUCUUUGGUCAACUGUUCAUUCUAAAGUGCACCUGGCCUAGAUUUGAAGCUUUUGAAGAGUUGAUGCAGGAACUACGAAAUUUGGUUGAAGAAUCAAGACUUACCUGCAAGAAACAUGCAGAGCACUGUAAAAGACAUAAUAUAAUCAAGUGCCAAAAUGUGUGUAUAGGAGGCUUUUGUGUCCUGGAAGACAGACAUCUUUUAUUUAAAAAAGGUGAAACUGGGGAGAGUUUGUGUGGCAGGACUGUGGCAGCAGUGACAGCAGUUGGCACCGGCCCUUGCGUCUGGCUCAGUCAGGAGCUGGACUUCCUGACCAUCGCCAUCCACAUGCUCUACGCCCGGGUCUCAGAGUUCAAUGUCUACUUUGAGAGGCCUGACUUCAAGUUCUAUGCCAAGCUGUACUUUCUCAGAUUAACCCUUCCUGGAAAAAUUGUAGAAAAUGGAAGCCACAAGGGUCCUAUGGCGCAGAUAAAGGAAUUUUUACCAUUCGCCUGCCUAGGGGCUAGACAUGUUAGCUGCUCUUCUGGCACCAAGAAAAUCCAGGACAGCGAGAUCACUUCUGGAAGAAACAGGUGCUUCUGAGAUUCCUGAAGAAGUAGACGAUGAAGAGUUUGAUUGGGAAAUUGAGCAGACACCCUAUGGAGAGGUAUCAGAAAGUGCUAUGAAUCCACAGUGCCACUAUGGAUUUGGAAACUUACAAUCAGGAGUGUUUCAGUGGUUACAGGAUCAAUUGAGUGAUGUUAUUGAUAUUAAGGAUCCAGAUUUCAGCCCUGUAGCUAAACCAAGACAGAAGUGCCUGGCCACUGACCUGGCCAAUUUUGAUCCUGAUCAUUAUCUAAUUGACAUUUUUGAAGAUGAGGCGGUUGAACAGAUUUUGAAGUACAAUUUGGUGGUCUGACAAAUAUUAAAAAAUGAUGGCUUUUUUGGAAAAGAGUCAGGAGCAAGAAAUCAUGCUUCUUUAGUGUCUUUUUCUGAAGAAGAGAAAUAUCAGCUACAAAAAUUUGUAGAUGAUUUGUCAAUACAAAAUUUGUCAGUCCAGCUGGGGUUAGAACUGGAAGAGCUAGCGGCAGCAGCACUUCUUGUCCAGGAAGAAGCUGCGUUAAAAGCAGCCCAUUCAGUUUCUGGGCAGCAGGCACUUUGCUCCAGCUCUGAGGCAAGUGAUGUAGAGGAGUCAGACAGCACCGUGUCAUCUGGAAAUGAAGACUCAGACUCAGAUUCAAAACAAGUUAAACUCAAAGAUAGUCCCUCUAAGACAGUCAGUUCUUUGCAAGGUCCCUUUGUGGAAAGGAGUGCUCUUCUUAUUGUUGAUGGUGGAGUAUGCAGAAACAUAGCCACCCAGGAAUCCGAUGCCAGUCAGGGAAAGCCACUUGCCUCUUCCCGGCGUCUUGGAGUGUCUGGGCCUCUGACAGAGGAGUGUGGGGAACAACUGAAGACCACAGUUCAGGUUUCUGAACCCAAGGGCACCACUGCUGUAACAAUAUGCAGGAGAGACACAGCUGUCAGACACCAAAUAAUUCCGUACGUGACAAACGUAUAUGACAAAUGUACUUUCCUAAUCUUCCUGAGAAGAGCAGUACUGUGUCGUAGGGGUGAAAAAGCCAGAGGAGCCAGGAGUGGAGGAGUUCUGCUGUCUCGAUUUCGCGGCAGUUUGCUUCUGGCCCGGGCGAGAACCUGUCCUCCGGGCAAGCAAGAGGCCAGUGCAGGACUCCUGUACUCCAGGACUAGGCGGAGGCAGGUGCCGACCGGAGGCCAGGGCCCGGAGUCCGGCACCCAACGGGAGGGCGUGGCGGGGGAGUACGGCGCUCCACUCCCGUCCUGCCAGCUCCCGGGUCGGUUCCGAGCGCCCGCGGCCCGAUGGCCAGGCGGAAGAUGGCUGCCCAGAGCGCCGCGGACAGUCACGUGUCACGCCGAGCCCGCCGCGCACCCCCUCCCCCGCUCGCCAAGUCCUCGACCCUGCGGGAGGCACGGCCUUGAGCUGUCUCUCCGCCUCCUAGGUGCGGCGCGGGCCGGCCAGGGAGGGCGGGCACCGGGGCGGAAGGCCAGCCGUCCUCGCUGUGCACCCCUAACCUGGGCGCUGAGGCUCUCGGGCAACAGAGGAAAACCUUCCUUCGGGCGACCCACACCAGGUAGGGCUAUUGGGCAUGCGUGGGCUUCCGCCCUGCCGCCGCCGCUCUCCGGGUUUUUGCUGCAGCUCGGAGGGACGGCGGGAGGUGGGGCCCAGGUGGGGCGGGGCGGCUCUGACGAAGCCGGAGUUUUCACCUCAGGCGGUUAG